GACGAACGCUGGCGGCGUGCUUAACACAUGCAAGUCGAACGGAAAGGCCCUGCUUUUGUGGGGUGCUCGAGUGGCGAACGGGUGAGUAACACGUGAGUAACCUGCCCUUGACUUUGGGAUAACUUCAGGAAACUGGGGCUAAUACCGGAUAGGAGCUCCUGCUGCAUGGUGGGGGUUGGAAAGUUUCGGCGGUUGGGGAUGGACUCGCGGUUUAUCAGCUUGUUGGUGGGGUAGUGGCUUACCAAGGCUUUGACGGGUAGCCGGCCUGAGAGGGUGACCGGCCACAUUGGGCCUGGGGUACGGCCAGGGCGCCUCCGGGGGCAAGGGGUGGGGAUUUUUGCCAAAGGGGCGGAGGCCUGAUGGAGGAACGCCGCAUGGGGAAGGACGUCCUUCGGUUGUAAACCGCUUUCGCCUGUGACGAAGCGUGAGUGACGGUAAUGGGUAAAGAAGCACCGGCUAACUACGUG
rnacentral:rRNA from 1 species